rnacentral:rRNA from 1 species
GACGAACGCUGGCGGCGUGCCUAAUACAUGCAAGUCGAACGAGAGCGCCCGGUGCUUGCACUGGUCAAUCUAGUGGCGAACGGGUGAGUAGCACGUGGGUAACCUGCCCAUCAGAGGGGGAUAACAUCCGGAAACGGGUGCUAAAACCGCAUAGGUCUUCGAACCGCAUGGUUUGAAGAGGAAAAGAGGCGCAAGCUUCUGCUGAUGGAUGGACCCGCGGUGCAUUAGCUAGUUGGUGAGGUAACGGCUCACCAAGGCCGUGAUGCAUAGCCGACCUGAGAGGGUGAUCGGCCACAUUGGGACUGAGACACGGCCCAAACUCCUACGGGAGGCAGCAGUAGGGAAUCUUCCGCAAUGGACGCAAGUCUGACGGAGCAACGCCGCGUGAGUGAAGAAGGUUUUCGGAUCGUAAAACUCUGUUGUUAGAGAAGAACAAGUGCUAGAGUAACUGUUAGCGCCUUGACGGUAGCUAACCAGAAAGCCACGGCUAACUACGUG